rnacentral:rRNA from 1 species
AAUCAACGCUGGCGGCGUGCCUAACACAUGCAAGUCGAACGCGAAAGCCCCGCAAGGGGUAAGUAGAGUGGCAAACGGGUGAGUAACACGUGGGUGACCUGCCUUCGAGUGGGGGAUAACGUCCCGAAAGGGACGCUAAUACCGCAUGACAUCCUGCCUUUAGAGAGGCGGAGAUCAAAGCCGGGGAUCGCAAGACCUGGCGCUUGAAGAGGGGCCCGCGCCUGAUUAGCUAGUUGGUGGGGUAACGGCUCACCAAGGCAACGAUCAGUAUCCGGCCUGAGAGGGCGGACGGACACACUGGGACUGAGACACGGCCCAGACUCCUACGGGAGGCAGCAGUGGGGAAUUGUUCGCAAUGGGCGCAAGCCUGACGACGCAACGCCGCGUGGAGGAUGAAGAUCUUCGGGUCGUAAACUCCUGUCGAGCGGGACGAACGCUUCGCGGACUAACACUCCGCGGAAUUGACGGUACCGCUAAAGGAAGCCCCGGCUAACUCCGUGCCAGCAGCCGCGGUAA